UCCGAAAUGAGAUUCGCAAGAGGCAGGACGAUGCGAUUGAAGGAACAAGAAUUGCUGUGGCACAGUGGAUGGGAUGAUGCUGGCCUACCUGCAGAACCGGUACAUACGGAGCCACUACUUAUACAUACAUAUGUGUACCAUUUUGAUCUGGUCCAAAGACGUAUGCAGCUUUGACUGGAUUUAUCCUUGAUGGACUGCGAUUUCAAUCAAAUAUAGAUAAUUCAGACACAACAACGAAACAAACAUAAUAAACCAAGCCUGAAGUUAAAAACAUUAAUGCGUGCCCAAAAAAGCACGCAGAUUUCACCAAAUUUAAAAAUAUGGGACGGCGAGGUCCGGGUUCGAUGCCUAAAGGUAAGACCGCACCGAGGCAGAAGCAACAAAGGCAUUAUCUGCAUCAGGUGCAGCAGGCGACCGCCAAUUGGGUUUGGGUUUACAAGCCAUGCGGAGGGUGGAGGGGCGGAGAGAAUCCUCAGUGAGUUUUGAUCGCCUCUUCAAGGACCUUUCGAUCAUUACUUAAAAUGUACUUUCUGCAAUGCAAAAGCACUAUUAUUCCUAUUGUGUGCAUAUAUCCUCUUUGCUUGUACGAGGGUAUGUGGGUCAGGCCCACACAAUAAAAAAAGAGAUGAAAAGGCGCAUGGGCGCAAGAAGGAUGCAUGUCCUGGCUCAGAGCCCCGAUACGCAGCGUGUGUGCUCUUUUGACUUUUGAUUAAAUUCGCACGCGCCAAAACCCCAAAAAAAAAACAAAAUACAUGCAUGGUCAUGUGGAAGUUUCCCAAAAAAUGAACAAAUAUGAACUGAAAAUUCCCCAAAGGGGGGGUCCCGACUAUGGAUAUACCCUCUCUUGGGCCUGACACAUAAAGAAGGUCUUUUCUCUUCCGUGGAUAUGCCACACAAAUCUUGAUGAAGGGUUCCUUAGUCUUUGCUUUUUAAAAUUGUUAUUUAUUUUGUUGUUUUUUGCAGUGAUUUUACGAAAUUCCUAUAAAUUAGUAUUUACCUGUGUACAGGAUUAAAAAACAGAUCUUAAAUAUUUGUUUUUGCAAUAUCUGCAGAAUUAAAAAAAAAGAGAAUUCUUGGAUCUAUCUAAGACAUAUUAUGUUGAGGGCACUUUUAAUGGUAGUACCUAAUAUUAUAAUAUAAAAAAAAUUCAAAUGGUUUAAAAA